AAGUGUUGUUGGGAGGUCCCUGGAUUUGCCGGAGGAGAAUCCAGCCCAGUUCUGAAGAACUGAGCAACAGGCUUCCUGAAGUCCUGUAAUUUAGAAAUCUAAGCUAAAAGCUGGGUACAACUUAGAAAAUACCUUUCAUUUGUCUUUUUAUGUGCUCAUCAUGGACCCGUCCACAGACUUAAGUCCAGUGAAGAGUCCUGUUGUAUCUCACUUAAACCCCAGAAUAUAAAUAAGCACCAUUCCCAAGCCCUUCCUACAGACAUGGUUCCCUCAGGCUCAGUCCCCAUUGUUGAACUUCUCUAAACAAAUCUAAAUCACCCAGCAUGCAUUGAUCACAACUGAAUCAACCUUUUACAGAGAGGUAGGGCAAAUCAGCCUGUGAUACCAGAACCCAAGGGGAUUCUUUGGCAAAGUGAAACCUGCCUACUGCACAGAGGAUGGGUGUGUGGUGGGCUGAGGCCGGGGGCAGGACCCAGAGACUGGGGCUGCUUCCACUGGGUGGGGAACUGUGGUGCCUUAGACCUUGAGCGCCCCGCACAGCUGUCUGUUUGCAGAUCAAACUGGACCUAGCCACUGCUGUGCAUCAGGCACCAUAUUAAGCUCUGAAAGUGCCAACAGCAGCAAAACAAAUAACCCGGGUCAAGGACUGGGGGUUUGCUAGAGAUUCAGAGGUGACAAACAGAAGAUGGCCCUGUGCUUCUGCAAUGAGGAGGAAUGCAGGGAGCAGCACAGCUCAUCUUCUGGUACAAUGUCUAGGCUUAGCACUGAAAUCUACUCACAUUUUGGGUAUAGCAUUUCUCGGAUUUACUGAUGGAAUACACUCUCCAAAAUAGCAACAAAGUUGCCUUCUCAACUUUAAGGUCAAUGAAGGCAGGUCUACUCUGUCGCCCUGCCCCACACCACAUAGAUGGAGCUCAAUACUGUUGAGUGCCCUUAAACCUGCACUGUCUGUGGACAAUUUGGCUUUGUUGAGGGGUUGAAAUGUAGCAUCAGUUUUAUGUCAGAGCUAAAUGCACUUGGUUAGUAUAAACACAGCAGUUUCUCCUAUCAAAAUCUAUUCCUGUUACUGUAAAUAUCAACAUUUAUUACCUGAAUAGAAGAAUUAAGUGAGAUUUUUCUUUGCUUCUCCAUACUUCUCUGACUUUACAAUUUUUCUGCAUUUUCCAAAUGAGUGUAUGAUUUGUACAAUGAAAUGAUGUUGAGCACAGAAUAAAAACAUUCCGAAGA